CUCUAUCAAGAAGCGCGGUCGCAACUCGGCCUGUUGUCUUUUUUUCUGAAUGAACGAAAAGCGAAAGAGACCGAGCUGUUUUUAUUUACGCGAGUUAGCGAGUUCAAACAUAACGAGAUUAUUAGAUCUCAGUAACGGCUGAACCGAUCAAGUUCUGAGUAGACUCAAUCGAUAGCUUGGGAAAAACUGCAUAAUAAAAGUGUUUUUAUUUUUUCUCUCUGUGCGCUACGUGCCGAGAUAUCGCGACGCAAAUUCAAAUCUCGUCGUUUUACAUGUUAAGAAACGUCGUCAUUAUUAUCGUCGUCCUCGAAUCUUGUCUAGUACAUCUUUUUGACACAGAGUGGCCGGUGGCGCUCGCUACUAUACUAUAAGCCCGCAUACGAGCAUGUGAUGCAUCACGUGACUGAUUACUGCGAUAUGACAAGUUUCUUAACCUAUAACCGGAAAUCGGCAAUAAUAUCUCGGUUUGCGAGGCAGACGACACUUUUUUUGCCGAUUAUCACCAAGAGAAUCUUGUCCCGUACACAUUUUCGACACGGAGUGAUGCUUGUUAUAGCCGUUUUAUGUGAUCAUGGGUGCGUUCCGUUUCACGUAUAAUAACAUAUAAAAUAAUAUGCGAUGCAUCAUUUAUCCUUGUUGUUCAACUAAAAAAUAACUAACGUUAAAUGAGGAUAUAUAAAGAAUUAUGCAAGUCAUACGUGAUACCGAACGCACCUCAAGUGAUGUGAUGUAUGAAUCAUAUGACCAAAUUUAUGAUUGCCGAUAUGAGAGAUUAUCUGGCCUGAAAAGUCAACAACAUCUCGUUUCGCGAAGCAAAAUGACACUUCUCCUGCCAGAUUCGUUCAUUUCGUGUAAAAACGCCGAAUCAGCCUAAGUUCAUCAAUACCGAAGAUGAAGAGUAUAAGAGUACUGGUGCCUAUAGCGGCCAUUAUUAUUAUGAUAAUUGUCAUUUUCUUCACCCUCAAAAGCGUACUUUAAUGGAUGAGUUGAUGGAGUUUAUGAAUUUUAUUCCAAUGGAACAUAAUAAUAAUGUAGGAGAACGCAGAUAAAAAGGAUUGACGACUUUUACUAGAAGUUGCAGAAUUCCAAGAUCUUGGCCAAUUUCAUCGAAAAAUUAAAUCUCCAGAAAAUGCAGAAAUUAAUCGAUAAUCUAUGUGGAAGUCAGAUUUACAAAAAUUUUAUCACGAUGACCAGAGAAGACAUUUGUAUUUCAGGAACUUACAAAACUUUGGUUUAGAAUAUUGAGUUUCCAUAUUAGUACAAUGACAUUAGAAUAGAAAAAUAAAUGUUUAAAGCAUGUAAAAUAUUUUACAUAUGUACUUUAAAUAAGUAUUUUUCUAUUUUUUUAAUGUCAUACGCUGACGUAAUAAAACCACAGAAUUCAUGAAUUAAACUACUAUUUUCUUAAAAUUUCAAAUAAUUUUAUUGUUUUAUAAAUAAAUUAUUUUCAUAAAAUUGAAUUAAAUCAUUUAAAUAAAUAACACAAAAAUAUGUUUAGAGAAACGCCAAAUCAAGACUAGAAUUUGCUACUUAAUAAAAAAUAUAUCUUAUAUUCUAUAAAUCACAGCUGCAUUAUAUUUAUAAAUAAGCAUGUUCCGAGAAAUAAAUUGUUUUUUAAGUGUUAUAUUGAAUAUCUCUUAUCUAAUGACGAAAAAAUUGUUAUCAAUGACAAACUCUUUUAAAUAUGUGUUUUUGCAAAUUUAAUGUAAUCACAGAGAUUAAUAUCAAUGGUCAAGAAAAAGGAAAUGUAAUUUUAUUAUGUAUCUUAAUAAACUUCAUGAUA